UGUGAGGGACGGUGUGCGUUUGAAUGUUGAACGUGAGGAACCUAGUAAAAACAUAAAGAGCCUUGGAAGAGGGCCUGUGCCAAGGGACCCACCAAGAGGGGCUUCCAUCCCCACAGCCAACACCCAAUAGAUGAGGGAGGUCAGAAGAAAAGAGUUCCUAAUCCUAUAACAAAGGCUGAAUCAGGGGGACUAUGUUGCUGGAAUUUCACGUACUGAAAGGAAAGCUAUGAAGAAAAUUACAAGGCUUGGAAGAAUUAGCCCACCAUGAGGGACUCAGUCCUUCAGCCAAGCCUUGAAUCUGACUUGGACACUGAGAGCUCUUGAAUAGAUGAAGACAGUAUCUACUUUUUUUUCCUUGCCUUCCUUCCUUUUUCUUUUUUCUUUCCUUCCUUCUUUCCUUCCCCCCAUACUUCUUUUUAAAAUCUUUUUGUUUUAAUUUUUGUUUUAGUUUUCCCCAAUAUCUAGAAAGCUCUGACAGGGAAAGAUGCUGACUGGAGAAUACUUAGGCUACAAUUGACAAAAGGGCAAUGGUUUCCUAGGCUUCAGUCAGAGAACAAGUUCUUUCUAGCACUGGCUCUGGAGCACUGUCCUGAAGGGUCUAAUUAGUUUGCUUCUCUGACCUUGAUUGCUACCUUUUGAAGAAGGCUUAAAGCCUGUUGAGUCUCCUAAACUUGCCAAGCCCUGCUGCCUCAGUCUAGUCAGCAAUCUUGCCCUGCCCAGGCCUCUUGCUGUCUGACCACACUGCUUAGCUAACCCCAUUUGGGUCACACCCUAUUGCUUAUGGCUCCUUUGGAAAGGCCCAUCUACGAGCUACCUCCUUACAUAAAUGUAAAGACAUUAAACAUUCUUGAUGGAGUUAAAAACCAAGGAUAUAAGGAAUCCAGGGUGGAG